ensembl:lncRNA
GGGCAGGACAGACGCACCCCAUCUCACCACACUCAUUCACCAGCCCUGGGGAAAGUUACUGUGAACUAGGAGCAGGAGUCCUGGGCUCUAAUCACAGCUCCAUCACUCUCUGUGUGAUAACUGGCAAGGCCCAGAGAUGUAAAGUGAUUUGCUUAAAGCCACAGAGCUAGACUUUUGUUGGAGGCAGGCCUUGAACGCAGGGUGUGAUUUGUAGUUUCAGACUCCAAAACCCGGUGUCUGGUCUCUGAAUUCCAUCUCCAAGCUCCCUUGCAGCAUGGACACUCUAGAACCCAUGCGAUAUUACGCUUCCAUACCACUGCCACAACUUGCCCACGCCUCUCUUAAAGCAAUAUACCUGUUCUCCUGUUGGGAAUGGGCUGGAUGGAUCCUAGAGCCCUGAAUUCAGCCUGACCCACAGGGAAGCCUUCUUAGACUCAGUCCCUGUCCACCCUUGGCAAAACCUUCAACCUCUCUAGCAAGGGGGGGAGGGCACAACUCAGUCACCGCCCCCCCCUUCCAGGUCCCUGAGGCUGCUGCACCCAUGAUUCCCCACCCCCAGCAAUUCCACCAACCCCUGACAGCUCCAGCCACUUUACCACUUGGAAGACCUGUGGUUCCAGAGUGGAAAAGGGCACCAGUGUUCAAAGAUCACUAGAGUUCAUGAUCAUGCCAGUUUCCAGAAACAACCUCUGUCAAGCCCAGAAUUUGUUCCGAAGAGGCAGAAUGGGGGUGUGGGUCACAGUGGGGAGGGGGCUCUGGAGGGCCAGCACCCUUCCUUAAGAACAAGUAGAGACGAGAACUCUUUCUUCCCACCUCCCUCCUCAGACACCCCCAAGGACCCUGCAUCCUGUGCACUGGCUGGUGCAUCUGAGGACAGGAAGGUGUGGCCUCAGCUUCCGGUCUGUGAACCAGGAGUGGCCCCGGCUUAGGAAGGACGGUGGGAGGCACAGGGUCCCAGCGGGAAUUGCGGACGCUUUGCACCCCUGAGCCCAUCAAUGGGGACCAUUCCAUGCUCCCCCCCUCGGAUCUAGCCUUCCCUCCCAUCCAAGGCUAAAAUAUCCUGAACUAAGACCUCACCCCACCAUCCAUCCCAUCUGCAGGUCUGUGCCAAAGAGCCAAUCCCAGGAGUUCCUCUGGUCGCUGCAGAGACCGAGGUCCUGGAAGGUUGGCCCGGUUGGCUGAUGGGCACAGCCCCAAAGGGCGACAAUUCCCUUCAGAUCUGGCUGCUGCCCUGCCCCUGGGCCAACUCCUGCCUCCAGUCCUCUUUUCUCCCAUCCCAGCCAGCUGUCAUCUCUUCCCACCCCCCACCCCCCAGUCCCCUUUUUACUCAACGGGUUUAGCCACUGGUGCUUUGAAGCCUUUUGUUUUUAUAAGACGGUUUUUUCAAGGAGACCAAGUUUUCUUCCCACUGGGACCUUGCAAAGCAGGGAGUUGUCCCCUGGUUUCUGUGCAGGUGGGUUGAUUAAAGAUGGUGUUUUCUUCUCUUUCUUCCUGUCCUCCUGCCCCAUGACUUGACAGGCUCUUCUAAGGGAGAAGUCUCUGCAGGAAGGGUGGGCAGAGGUUUGGAAUUUACAUCACUGUCAUUGUCAGACAUUCCUGGGGCACUGGCCCGUGCCUUUGGCUGACUGUAUAGCUUUAGAUGAGUUCUCCCUCUUUUUCCUCAUCCAUAAAAGGCAGAGAGGGGACUAAAUCAGGGGCUACCCAAACCUGGCUUCAGAAUCCCUUAGAGAGCUUUCUAUUUAUUUUUCUGAUUAGGUGCAUUUGAAGUUGAUGCAUUCAAAUCCUUUACAUCCUGGCUCUGCCUUCUUCCUGACAAUUCAGUUCCUAGCCUGGAAUAAGCUGGCAGACAGGGCUUCAGACACAGAUUGCUGCAUCCCAGUUGGGACAUCGUGGAUCCUUUUCUGGCAGUACAACCUGAAUCAGGGGCUUUUUGUUUUGUUUUGUUUUGUUUUGUUUUAGGGCCAUACCCACGGCAAAUGGAAGUUCAGGCUAGGGGUCUGAUAGGAGCUACAGCUGCCAGCCUACGCCACAGCCUCAGCAACACCAGAUCCGAGCUGCGUCUGCAAUGCCAGAUCCUUAACCCACUGAGCAAGGCCAGGGAUCGAAGCUGCAACCUCAUGGUUCCCAGUCGGAUUCAUUUCCGCUGCACCACAACGGGAACUCCUGAAUCAGUAUUUUGAAUGACCAAAUUUUGUUUAUUUUUGUGAAUAGGUAAUAAAGAUUAAAAAAAAAA